CACGUAGGGCGCGAGCGUUGUCCGGAAUUAUUGGGCGUAAAGAGCUCGUAGGCGGCCUGUUGCGUCCGCUGUGAAAGCCCGGGGCUUAACCCCGGGUCGGCAGUGGAUACGGGCAGACUAGAGGUAGGUAGGGGAGAAUGGAAUUCCCGGUGUAGCGGUGAAAUGCGCAGAUAUCGGGAGGAACACCGGUGGCGAAGGCGGCUCACUGGACCACAACUGACGCUGAGGCGCGAAAGCUAGGGGAGCAAACAGG
rnacentral:rRNA from 1 species